UACGAGGGGGGCAAGCGUUGUUCGGAAUUAUUGGGCGUAAAGAGCGCGUAGGCGGCUUGGUAAGUCGGAUGUGAAAUCCCGGGGCUCAACCCCGUGACUGCACCUGAAACUGCCCGGCUAGAGGUAGGUAGGGGAGAUCGGAAUUCCUGGUGUAGCGGUGAAAUGCGCAGAUAUCAGGAGGAACACCGGUGGCGAAGGCGGAUCUCUGGGCCGUACCUGACGCUCAGGCGCGACAGCUAGGGGAGCAAACAGG
rnacentral:rRNA from 1 species